GGGCGCUGCGUCCGCCUCGCGUGCCGGGCCGGCCGCCUAAUCCCGCGAGGAAUCCUUGAUUCCUCCCGGCACCCGCCGCCAACUUGAGCCCGAGCGACUAAUGCACUCAUUUUAACGCCGAAAAGUACCCAGCUCCGCUGUUGUAAGGCAAAGAGCUCGGGCGGCGGGACAAGGGCGAAGGGGAACGCGGACGAGAAGUCACGAGUCGCCUCCGCGGACAGUUCUCGGCUUCCUGAGCGGCACCGACGCUUCCUCGCCGCCUGCCUUGCCCAGGCAACCACAGCAGCCUGGCGGCCUUGCGCCCUACCGGUGUUGUGCCCCGGGAUGAAGGUCCCGCGCCCUCCACCCCCAGUACCCUACCGCAGCCCUUUCUGCCGGGAACUCGGGGCGCACGGGAGACCACCUUAGGAAUAGGAAUAUAAUAUGUACAUCUUUGCGUACAUGUAAAACCUGCUCCUCAUCUGAACUUUUAGAAGAAAUCUCCUGAGAGGAAAGGAGUCACCAUAAAAUGGUAAAUAGUUUUAAGUUGAAUCAGAAGGCAGAUACCAUACUUAAACAGCCUCUUCUACUUAGAGAAUCAUAAGACAGAACCACCCAGUACUGCCUGUUUUCCAUUAUUCUUCAUAUCAAAGUUGACUUCAUCUUUCUCAGUGCUCUCAUCUAUGAUUGGAAGGCUCUGAUACUCUUUCUGCCAGGCGACCAUAUACAUGUGCAGUUUGUUGACUGCAUAAUGGUGCCUGGCAGAGGAGGUGGGUAGGCUUUGAACUUCAUCCUCUACCUGCUAAGAUAUAUGUCACCCACCUCCUCAGGAAG
ensembl:lncRNA